rnacentral:rRNA from 1 species
UACGUAGGGGGCAAGCGUUGCCCGGAGUUACUGGGCGUAAAGCGCCCGCAGGCGGUCCAUUAAGUUCAGGGUGACAGUUAUCAGCUUAACUGAUGAAGGACUUUGAAGACGCGCCGACUUGAGAGCGAGAGAGGGACAUGGAACUCCGGGUGGAGCAGUGAAAUGCGUAGAGAUCCGGAAGAACACCAAAGGCGAAGGCAGUAUCCUGGCUCGUUUCUGACGCUCAGGGGCGAAAGCGAGGGGAGCGAACGGG